rnacentral:rRNA from 1 species
UACGUAGGGUGCAAGCGUUAAUCGGAAUUACUGGGCGUAAAGCGUGCGCAGGCGGUCUGUUAAGACCGAUGUGAAAUCCCCGGGCUUAACCUGGGAACUGCAUUGGUGACUGGCAGGCUUUGAGUGUGGCAGAGGGAGGUAGAAUUCCACGUGUAGCAGUGAAAUGCGUAGAGAUGUGGAGGAAUACCGAUGGCGAAGGCAGCCUCCUGGGCCAACACUGACGCUCACGCACGAAAGCGUGGGGAGCAAACAGG